ensembl:lncRNA
CUCAUCUGUUUGCACCCAGUGUUCCAACGAUAGGCUCCAGAUGUACCGUGACCCUGGCCAGGAUAAAGCAGCUAAAAAGGAUGGAUGAAUGAGUCCUGUCUAUUACCAUGAAUAUGUUUUCACAGCUGCAUCAUAGACUCGAACAUCUCGAUCCUCUUCCUCGUUUGGCCUCUCUGAAUUCUCCGAUAUGACACCGUUCCGUACUUUGCAUGCAUCAGGUGAUCGAACGGCUUGUCGUGGGAUUCGCAUGCAAUGUCUAGCCAGUGUUCCUGCUCCACUUCCUCCAGACUCACGCUGCCGGCUCCUGGGAGUCCCGUCACUCCGGCCUCAUCAGGCAAAAAGCUACUGCUCUCAUCUGUGUAUGUGUCGGCUAGAAAAAAUCAGACAGAUUAAAUACAGAGCUUUAGGUCUUUUAUAGGAGCUGUUUGUUAUUAUCAGAGUCAUCAGCUCUUUUGUGAGGCAAGUCGACAAGCCUUGUAAUCGAGAAGCCUUCUCGUCUCGUUUCCCGACAGGUGACCAUGCGUUUGUGUUGUGAGUUGCCUUUUUAAAUCGAAUCUCAGUUGCGUCUGGGAUCGAGCUCAUCUCUGGGCCCGAAAAAUGUAAGCGGACGAUCGAAUUAUAUAGAAACGAGGUAAAUUUAUUACAUGAAAGUGUUGCAAAUCACGUUUUUUUGUUUGUUUGUUUGUUUGUUUUUUUGAAGGAU